AAACCUUCUUCAACCAGGGAAGAAGCCCAAGUGACGGUACCUGCAGAAGAAGCGCCGGCUAAUUACGUGCCAGCAGCCGCGGUAAUACGUAGGGCGCAAGCGUUGUCCGGAAUUAUUGGGCGUAAAGAGCUCGUAGGCGGUUUGUCGCGUCUGCUGUGAAAACUCGAGGCUCAACCUCGGGCUUGCAGUGGGUACGGGCAGACUAGAGUGCGGUAGGGGAGACUGGAAUUCCUGGUGUAGCGGUGGAAUGCGCAGAUAUCAGGAGGAACACCGAUGGCGAAGGCAGGUCUCUGGGCCGCAACUGACGCUGAGGAGCGAAAGCAUGGGGAGCGAACAGGAUUAGAUACCCUGGUAGUCCAUGCCGUAAACGUUGGGCACUAGGUGUGGGGCUCAUUCCACGAGUUCCGUGCCGCAGCAAACGCAUUAAGUGCCCCGCCUGGGGAGUACGGCCGCAAGGCUAAAACUCAAAGAAAUUGACGGGGGCCCGCACAAGCGGCGGAGCAUGCGGAUUAAUUCGAUGCAACGCGAAGAACCUUACCAAGGCUUGACAUACACCGGAAACUUCCAGAGAUGGUUGCCCCGCAAGGUCGGUGUACAGGUGGUGCAUGGUUGUCGUCAGCUCGUGUCGUGAGAUGUUGGGUUAAGUCCCGCAACGAGCGCAACCCUCGUCCUAUGUUGCCAGCGGGUCAUGCCGGGGACUCAUAGGAGACUGCCGGGGUCAACUCGGAGGAAGGUGGGGAUGACGUCAAAUCAUCAUGCCCCUUAUGUCUUGGGCUUCACGCAUGCUACAAUGGCCGGUACAAAGGGCUGCGAUACCGCGAGGUGGAGCGAAUCCCAAAAAGCCGGUCUCAGUUCGGAUUGGGGUCUGCAACUCGACCCCAUGAAGUCGGAGUCGCUAGUAAUCGCAGAUCAGCAACGCUGCGGUGAAUACGUUCCCGGGCCUUGUACACACCGCCCGUCAAGUCACGAAAGUCGGUAACACCCGAAGCCGGUGGCCCAACUGUUCGCAGGGGAGC
rnacentral:rRNA from 1 species